AAAAAAUCCCUAAGCAUUUCUUAACACUAGUUUUAAAGAAAACCCCCUCUCCAAAGGUAUGUUUCUCCUUCAACUUUCUUGACUUUGCCAGGCUGUCAGGAUGCAAGCUACCUACUCUUUUCUGGAUGGAUCGGGACAAAGUUUUUAAACAAAGACUGUGUCCUCUCCACAAGCCCUUCCCACCACCACCACCCCAGCCCCCCGCCGCCAUAAUUACAGGGGCUGUGAAAUGGCUGUUGAGUGAUGGUCACACAACCAGAAGGCAGAUGAAAAGGUCAGGCUCUAAGAGGGGUUCAGCCUCCCAGUACCAGCCUGCUGUGCCCAGGGGUGGGAGUGCUGGGAGAACUGUCUUCCCCAGACAGGCAGCUAUGCCGCCUCCCACUGCAAAGGCACCAAAAGGCAACAUCCGUCCAAUCCAAAGACCGCCACCCCCGCCUUUCCCCACCCACUUCAAGCCAGCUCCCCUAGAACCAACCAAGCCAAGAAUUAGAAAACUGCUUUGCCCAGGCCCCAGGAGAGGCGCAAGGGGCACUUAGGUGGAAAUUUGCCUUGGAGAAGUCACGCAAGGUCCCUGUCAGGCUGCCAGGGGGCCAGAUCUGGGAAUCUGGGGCCUCCAGCUCCAGGAGGAAGAGGGAUUCUGUGGGUUGAGCCCAUGUGUCUGAGCAGCUGGAGAAAUACCACCCUUGAUCCACUCCCUGGGAUGGGGUUGGAACCUCCACUCAGCCACCAGUGGGCACCUCUCCUUUUUAAAUGCUUUUAAUGCUCUUCAGAUGGUGAGAGGUUGUUGCAAUGGUCAUAGGCUGUGCUGAUGGCCGGGAACACCCCACACCCCACACCUGCCCCCCAUACCCCUUCCUCCAGGAGAUACUUGAGAGGGACCAUGCCCGGCUGAAGCCCCGUCUCGUGUGGAAGAAUGUCAUCUCCAGUGUCUGCUGCCUCCUCCCUGCAAAGUCUCCCACAAGCACAGGACAAGGGGUGCUUCCACCAUCUCCUAGGAGCUGAUGACAUGUCCAGACCAGGUCUCAUGCUUGGUGCCUGGUGCCAGGGCCAAGGAAGCGCCCACCCCAGCCAGGCCACCCAGACCUGCCGCUGACUCACUCAGAGAUGUGCAGGAAGAUGUCGGGGCCGCCAUCAGCUGGAGUAAUGAAGCCAUGGCCCUUGGACCGGCAGAAGCAUUUGCAGACUCCUUUGUAGACGGGGCCCUGUGAAGCCCGCACCGUCCUGACAGAGAGGGGGAAAUGUCAGGGGCCCCAUCAGCGCUCCUGGGCACACAAAGCUCAUUCCAGCCCCUGCCCACAGCUGUGCCCCAUCAAGCCCUGGCCAGGACCGCCAUGUACAGUCACACAGGCUGAGGACUGCACAACCCUCAACCCUGGGAGCCGCUCACAAAGACGCUGGGGGAAAGGACUCUUUGGAUGACCCUGGCCAAUUUUCUCGGGCCUGUUUUCCCUCCUGGAAAGAGGGAGUUGAACUAAAACAUCACUGAACAUCC
rnacentral:lncRNA from 1 species